ACGAACUUUAGGUACCAACUUGUGUACUAUCUCUUUAAUAGAGCAUGGGACCUAUUAUAUUGGUGGGCUCCACCUCUAUUAGAGAGAUAAUACACAAGUUGAUAUUUAAAGUUCGUCUCCCUAACAUGACCUAUUUUAUUAUUAUUAUUUCUCCUUGAUUUCUUACUUUUUUUCUCCUCUUUUAUUAAUUUCUAGCAUAUAUUUGAUUUUUUUUUUUGUCUGAGUAUGUUUGAAUCUUAUGUUGCAUGAAAUUCCCAAAUUUAGGACCACUUCUUUCUUUUUAUGCAUCAGCUCUUAGUGGAAAACCUACCAACCCCAUCCCCUCUAAAUUAUUUGGUUAGUGUUUGCUGGGAUUUUGGCAUGGAGUCUAUGGUGGCCUUUAUAUAUUCCUCAAAUUCCACACCUUAUUAAUUGUUGCCAUUAAUAAAUCCAUCUUCUUUUUUUGGUAAAAGCUAUAAUCUAAGGACUAUAAUUUUUUCAACAAUACCCUUGAUAUUGUUAUUAUUAUUUAAAAAGUUAUUAAAGCAUUAAUUGCUAAAACAUUGCAUUAAUUGCUUGAGAGGAAAAAGCUCAGCCAACAGAAAAAAAAAAAAAAAAAACUUAAAAGUACCGGGCAUAUCACUAUGGUGUUAUUUCAAACUAACCACUCAUUGUUAUAUAUUUUAACUUUUCGACGUGGCAAUACUUGAUAGGCUCGGAAUAUUGCCACGAUGACAUCUCCGUUACAUGUAAGUUCUUCUCGAGCCAAAACCCUGAAUCCCAUUGGCUGUUAUAUAACUGAUCUUAUUCCUUCCUAAAUACCACAAAUUAAUGUCACAUUAUUUAUGAGGUGUUCUGUAUAGCAGAAUUUAUGGAGGCAGCUUCGCCAUUAUAUAUGGGAAGCCAGACAGGGUUUUGGUAAAAGGAGUUGCC
rnacentral:lncRNA from 1 species